GAUAGGACACCCCCGCGGUUCAUCCGGAGCGGGGCAUUGAAACGGGGGAAAUCGAACGCAGAAUAGAAGACUGGAAUUUCACUUGUAGCUGUGAAAUGCGUAGAGAUGUGGAGGAACACCAGUGGCGAAGACGACUUUUUGGUCUGUAACUGACGAUGAGGCGUGAAAGUGUGGGGAGCAAACAGGAUUAGAUACCUGGUAGUCCACGCCGUAAACGAUGAGUGCUAAGUGUUAGAGGGUUUUCCGCCCUUUAGUGCUGCAGCAAACGCAUUAAGCACUCCGCCUGGGGAGUACGGCCGCAAGGCUGAAACUCAAAGGAAUUGACGGGGGCCCGCACAAGCGGUGGAGCAUGUGGUUUAAUUUGAAGCAACGCGAAGAACCUUACCAGGUCUUGACAUCUCCUGACAACCCUAGAGAUAGGGCGUUCCCCUUCGGGGGACAGGAUGACAGGUGGUGCAUGGUUGUCGUCAGCUCGUGUCGUGAGAUGUUGGGUUAAGUCCCGCAACGAGCGCAACCCUUGAUCUUAGUUGCCAGCAUUCAGUUGGGCACUCUAAGGUGACUGCCGGUGACAAACCGGAGGAAGGUGGGGAUGACGUCAAAUCAUCAUGCCCCUUAUGACCUGGGCUACACACGUGCUACAAUGGAUGGUACAAAGGGCUGCAAGACCGCGAGGUUAAGCGAAUCCCAUAAAACCAUUCUCAGUUCGGAUUGCAGGCUGCAACUCGCCUGCAUGAAGCCGGAAUCGCUAGUAAUCGCGGAUCAGCAUGCCGCGGUGAAUACGUUCCCGGGCCUUGUACACACCGCCCGUCACACCACGAGAGUUUGUAACACCCGAAGUCGGUGGGGUAACCUUUUGGAGCCAGCCGCUAAGGGGGAACAAAAUU
rnacentral:rRNA from 1 species